GCAGUAGCCGCGGGAAUACGUAGGGUGCGAGCGUUAAUCGGAAUUACUGGGCGUAAAGCGUGCGCAGGCGGUUGUGUAAGACAGGUGUGAAAUCCCCGGGCUUAACCUGGGAACUGCGCUUGUGACUGCACAGCUAGAGUAUAGCAGAGGGGGGUGGAAUUCCACGUGUAGCAGUGAAAUGCGUAGAGAUGUGGAGGAACACCGAUGGCGAAGGCAGCCCCCUGGGCCAAUACUGACGCUCAUGCACGAAAGCGUGGGGAGCAAACAGGAUUAGAUACCCGUGUAGUCCCUGUCUCUUAUAC
rnacentral:rRNA from 1 species